GAGAUUGAAAACAAUUUUAGGAAAAAUGGAUGAAAAUUUGGAUUCGUAAGGUGUUUUUGAAAAAAAAAUCAGAAACUAUGGAUCAAAAUACAAUUAAGAAAAAUUUUGCCACGUAUGACCGCCUAGUCAGCAGUCUUGAUGAACCGGAACACGCUGCGUAGCAAGGCACGCUGACUCGGUGCCACGCGGGAGGCCAUGCUGGUGAUCCGUGUACCCCCCAAUCGGACGACCGAGAAACAUUCUCGCGCGCGUGGACAGUCGGAAUCCGUUCCCUCCUCAGGCGCGAUCGGACGGUCGUGAUAAAUGCGAUCGGACGGUCGAGAUCAAAUACGAUGAAUGGACCAAAUUAACACGAGACAGGUAUAAAUAUUUCGCAUCAUACUGAAUCCAAACCCUAGCCGCCAGCCUCCCGUCGGAAAAGAAGAACCAAUCGCCAGAGAAGGGAGCCGACCGUCAACCGCUGCCGCGCUGGAGCCAUCUCCGAUCGUCAAAAAUGGUAAAAAUUCUCCUAUCCGCUCCGAAUUUGAUUCUAAGCACCCCUAUAACCAAAUCGGAGCAAAGAAACGGCGGGUGAGCUGAAAAUCGCGGGUAAAGUCCAACGGCGCCGCCGUGGGCAAAACCCGCAACCGCAUCCAAUAAGCCCCUUCCCAUUUCCUGUUUCGUGCAAUUUUUUCACCGUUAUGUUCAUCAUUCUGUUUUCUACAGGUUGACUGAAGAAAAACACUCAACUGCGAAAGUGAGCUAGCGGAGCCGCCGCAUCGUAAAAUUCCACCACCGAUAAGUUUUCGUUUUUUUAUUUUUUUCGGCCAACCGAGUCCCUCUAACGUGUUUUUUGCAGGGAUAUGUAUAAAAUCGGCCGAACCCGGCUAGAAUAGGGCGAAAACGGUCAGGUCGAGGCAAACCACCGCCGCAGGCAGCAGUGUCGUCGUCGGAGCAUGGUGGUGCUGCCGUGCCGGAACCCCAAAUUAGCCAGAAAGAGUUUUUUUUUCAUCGAUUUUUGAUUUGUAGGGUAUUUUUAGGGACG
rnacentral:lncRNA from 1 species